GACGAACGCUGGCGGCGUGCUUAACACAUGCAAGUCGAACGGAAAGGCCCUGCUUUUGUGGGGUGCUCGAGUCGCGAACGGGUGAGUAACACGUGAGUAACCUGCCCUUGACUUUGGGAUAACUUCAGGAAACUGGGGCUAAUACCGGAUAGGAGCUCCUGCUGCAUGGUGGGGGUUGGAAAGUUUCGGCGGUUGGGGAUGGACUCGCGGCUUAUCAGCUUGUUGGUGGGGUAGUGGCUUACCAAGGCUUUGACGGGUAGCCGGCCUGAGAGGGUGACCGGCCACAUUGGGACUGAGAUACGGCCCAGCAUCCUACGGGAGGCAGCAGUGGGGAAUAUUGCACAAUGGGCGGAAGCGUGAUGCAGCAACGCCGCGUGCGGGAUGACGGCCUUCGGGUUGUAAACCGCUUUCGCCUGUGACGAAGCGUGAGUGACGGUAAUGGGUAAAGAAGCACCGGCUAACUACGUG
rnacentral:rRNA from 1 species